UCCGCAUGGCAUCGCUCGAAGUUCGACACGACGCGACGCGACGCGAAGCGAUCAUCGUUGAUCGUUCCUCCUGCUUCGUGCUUCGUCGCUUCGGCGCUUGGGCUUCCAGUUCAAAUUUGAGCGACGAACGGUAAAGUAAACAGAGCAAGCGAGAGGCGGACAAACCGAAGCGGACUCGAAGGCGCGCGAAUAAAAAGUGAAUUCGAAUUGGAGUAGCGGUAAAGGCGAGCAUUACCAUAUUGAUGGAGAGGAAAACAGGCGGAAAAAUACGGAAAAUAUAUAGCGCAUAAAUUACGAAAACUUUUUCGUUGCUGUUGCUUUGGUAAAUGCGCUUUGCUUUGCUUACAUUAGUGCCGACGCGCGCGCGUUGAAGUUAUUUUCGGAGUUUUGUGCGUUUUCCCUUUCCGUACGUAUACCGUUCGGUAUUGCCAUAUCCAUUCGCGGUUUUCCCGUUUCAACGGUACAUUUGCAUAUUUUUUGCGGGCGGGACGACAACAGUCCCCUCCAACAUUUCCGCUGUGCUGUGCGCAAAAGUGCGAGGCGAGUGAUAAAACACGAGAAAAGAAGAGCGACGAAAAAGGAGUAGGAGAAACAUAGUUGCCACGAAACGCAUUUGAAUGCCACAAAGAGCCGCAAGCCACA